rnacentral:rRNA from 1 species
AUGGCUCAGAUUGAACGCUGGCGGCAGGCCUAACACAUGCAAGUCGAACGGUAGCACAGAGAGCUUGCUCUCGGGUGACGAGUGGCGGACGGGUGAGUAAUGUCUGGGAAACUGCCUGAUGGAGGGGGAUAACUACUGGAAACGGUAGCUAAUACCGCAUAACGUCGCAAGACCAAAGAGGGGGACCUUCGGGCCUCUUGCCAUCAGAUGUGCCCAGAUGGGAUUAGCUAGUAGGUGGGGUAACGGCUCACCUAGGCGACGAUCCCUAGCUGGUCUGAGAGGAUGACCAGCCACACUGGAACUGAGACACGGUCCAGACUCCUACGGGAGGCAGCAGUGGGGAAUAUUGCACAAUGGGCGCAAGCCUGAUGCAGCCAUGCCGCGUGUAUGAAGAAGGCCUUCGGGUUGUAAAGUACUUUCAGCGGGGAGGAAGGUGUUGUGGUUAAUAACCGCAGCAAUUGACGUUACCCGCAGAAGAAGCACCGGCUAACUCCGUGCCAGCAGCCGCGGUAAUACGGAGGGUGCAAGCGUUAAUCGGAAUUACUGGGCGUAAAGCGCACGCAGGCGGUCUGUCAAGUCGGAUGUGAAAUCCCCGGGCUCAACCUGGGAACUGCAUUCGAAACUGGCAGGCUA